CAUUCUCCUUCCUAUCUUCUUCUCUCAUCACUUUCCCUUUUUCUUCUUUCAUUUCUCUGAAAAUCCUAAGGUCAUAGAAGGAUGUGGGCUUGAGGGAAAAGGAGUUGCAGGAGGAAACUCAUUCCUCUUUGCGAUGCAAUUGUCUCCAUUCAGGGGUGCGAUGGCAGCGGCGUUCUCUUCACGACGGUGGAGUUGCGACUUUUUCACGGGUUUCAAAGAGGGUUUCCUUCCACGUCUCGUGAUCUUGAGUGCUGCCGUGAAGAAGAAGAGUUUUAGGGAGACAUCUGUUUCAGUUACUUUAGCGAUAGGUGUUUGAGGGGAUUCAGUAAAGAAGUUUGAAGAAUCUACAGGUGUAGAUAUUAUUUUUCGUAGGUUUGUUUCUUAUAUUAGUUAAUUUAUCAUAUAUGUAAUAUUCAUUUUAGUAGUAUUUUACUAUUAAAAAUGAGAUGUUGCACUAAAAACAUAUUUAAUCCUAAAUUUUAUAUAAUUAAGUAAUAGUUUAAAAAAUAAAUAAAUUUAAUUCAAUUUUAUAAAAUUUGACUUGUCAUUAAAAAAUAUCUUUCCAUAAAUUAUGAAAAUAAAUUGUCAAUC